rnacentral:rRNA from 1 species
GACGAAACGCUGGCGGCGUGCCUAAUACAUGCAAGUCGAAACGCUUCUUUUUUCCAUCGGAGCUUGCUCCACCGGAAAAAAGAGGAGUGGCGAACGGGUGAGUAAACACGUGGGUAAACCUGCCCAUCAGAAGGGGGAUAAACACUUGGAAAACAGGUGCUAAAUACCGUAUAAACAAUCGAAAACCGCAUGGUUUUUGAUUUGAAAGGCGCUUUCGGGUGUCGCUGAUGGAUGGACCCGCGGUGCAUUAGCUAGUUGGUGAGGUAACGGCUCACCAAGGCGACGAUGCAUAGCCGACCUGAGAGGGUGAUCGGCCACAUUGGGACUGAGACACGGCCCAAACUCCUACGGGAGGCAGCAGUAGGG